AACAGUUUGGAGAGCUCAGAAGAAGAUAGGAAAAUGUGGCAUGAAAUGGGUAUGUCUUUAUCAGCAGGGUGAAACAGGACUGAUACAAGUGCAUAUUGCCAAUUGAAAGAAGCCAAUCUGAAAAGCCUACAUAUUAUAUGACUUCAAUUUUAUAACAUUCUGAAAAAGGUAAAACUAUGAAAACAAUAAAAAGUUCAGUGGUUGCUGGGGGUUUGGUGGGGAGGAAGGAAGGGACGAAUAGGUAGAACAUGGUGGGAUUUUUAGGGCAGUGAAACUACUUUUUUUGAUACUGUUAUGAGUGGUUACAUGACGUUAUACAUUUGUCAAAACCCAUAGAACUUCCGUACAACAGAGAGAGAAAACCCUAAUGUAAGGGAUGGACUUUAGUUAAUAGUGUGUCAAUGUUGGUUUAUCAGUUGUAGCAAAUGUACCACCCCAAUGCAAGAUGUUAAUAAUAGGGGAAAAUGAGAGCCAGGUAGAGUGGGGAGAGGGAAUAUGUAAGAACUCUCUGUACUUUCUGCUUAAUUUUUCUGAAACCUAAAACUGCUUUAAAAAGUACAGCUUAUUGGUUUUUUAAAAGAGUAUUUUGGAUUCACCUUAGUUUUGUAAGGAGAAUAAUUUAAUAUAAAAAA
rnacentral:lncRNA from 1 species